rnacentral:rRNA from 1 species
CGUAUUUGAAACCAGUAGUGAUGUAUGUUAUUUAAUUUGAUAAUCCGCAAAAAACCUUACCACAACUUGAAUGUCUAUAUAUUUAUUUUUAUCAUACUUUUGUGUGUAGUUUUUGUAUAACUUAGACUGGACGUUAUGCAAUAAUAUUAUAAGAUAAAAUCAUAGGUACAAGUGUUGCACGGCUGUCUACAGUUAAUGUCGUCAGACUAUGGUUAGUUCCAUUAAAUUAACGUAAACCCUUGCUCUAUUUUAAAAUAGAGUAGUUCUCCACUAUAUUGGAUAAGAUAACAGGGAACAAGACAAGUCAUCAUGGCCUUAAUGUUGUGGGCUAUAGACGUGCCGCGUGAGCCUUUACAAAAGGAUG